UACGGGAGGGGCAAGCGUUAUCCGGAUUCAUUGGGCGUAAAGAGCGCGUAGGCGGCUUGUUAAGCGAGAUGUGAAAACAGGGGGCUCAACCCGCUGCCUGCAUCUCGAACUGGCAGGCUUGAGUCUGGUAGAGGAAAGUGGAAUUCCCAGUGUAGCGGUGAAAUGCGCAGAUAUUGGGAGGAACACCAGUGGCGAAGGCGGCUUUCUGGGCCACGACUGACGCUGAGGCGCGAAAGCUAGGGGAGCAAACAGG
rnacentral:rRNA from 1 species